UUGAUCCCACCCCCAUGGCGCCCAGCAAGGUUUUGAGCACCUUUUGGAUUAAUGCCAGAAGAAAUCCUUCAAAAGUCAAAGCUCCAUUCCACUCUCUGGCUUCUGUGGAGGAAGGGCUGAACUGUGCCUAGUUAUUUUGAGGUUUGGGACAAACCAAAGAAUUGAGCAUAGUGGUGAAUCGUUUUGAAAUGAGAGACCUAGCCAAGGAUAUGUUCACUUAGUAAGAGGUCACAUCUUCUGCAAAAUAAAAAAAUCAAUCAAA
ensembl:lncRNA novel transcript